UUUCCCUACGGGACGCAGCAGUGGGGAAUAUUGCACAAUGGGGGAAACCCUGAUGCAGCAACGCCGCGUGAGUGAAGAAGUAUUUCGGUAUGUAAAGCUCUAUCAGCAGGGAAGAAGAAAGACGGUACCUGACUAAGAAGCCCCGGCUAACUACGUGCCAGCAGCCGCGGUAAUACGUAGGGGGCAAGCGUUAUCCGGAUUUACUGGGUGUAAAGGGAGCGUAGACGGUGAGACAAGUCUGAAGUGAAAGCCCGGGGCUCAACCCCGGGACUGCUUUGGAAACUGCCUGACUGGAGUGCUGGAGG
rnacentral:rRNA from 1 species